rnacentral:rRNA from 1 species
CCUACGGGAGGCAGCAGUGGGGAAUAUUGCACAAUGGGGGAAACCCUGAAGCAGCGACGCCGCGUGAGUGAAGAAGGAAUACGUUAUGUAAAGCUCUAUCAGCCGGGAAGAAAAUGACGGUACCUGAGUAAGAAGCCGCGGCUAACUACGAGCCAGCAGCCGCGGCAAUACGUAGGGGGCACGCGUUAUCCGGAUUUACUGGGUGUAAAGGGAGCGUAGACGGGAGUGCAAGUCUGGCGUGAAAGGCGGGGGCUCGACCCCCGGCCUGCUCUUGAAACGGUCCGGCUGGAGUGCAGGAGAGGUAAGUGGAAUUCCUGGUGUAGCGGUGAAAUGCGUAGAUAUUAGGCGGAACCCCAGUGGCGAAGGCGGCUUACUGGACUGUAACUGACGUUGAGGCUCGAAAGCGUGGGUAGCAAACAGGAUUAGAUACCCCGGUAGUC